rnacentral:rRNA from 1 species
AAUUAUGGACAAUGUGCGCGAGCCUGAUCCAGCAUUUCCGCGAGAGUUCAUAAGGCCUACUGUCUGCAAAUCUUCUUCGAGCGGAAAGAAAUCACCCAGACUACUCCCCCCCGCGGCUCACGGCACCGUCUUAAGCAGUACCGGCAAACUACCUUCCAACAUCCGCGGUAAUACGUAGGGUGCGAGCGUUAAUCGGAAUUACUGGGCGUAAAGCGUGCGCAGGCGGUUGAUUAAGACAGGCGUGAAAUCCCCGGGCUUAACCUGGGAACUGCGCUUGUGACUGGUCAGCUAGAGUACGGCAGAGGGGGGUGGAAUUCCACGUGUAGCAGUGAAAUGCGUAGAGAUGUGGAGGAACACCGAUGGCGAAGGCAGCCCCCUGGGCCGAUACUGACGCUCAUGCACGAAAGCGUGGGUAGCAAACAGG